rnacentral:lncRNA from 1 species
UUUGUUCUGUAUGUAAUUUGUUGAGAUUCCCAAAUAUGAGACUCGUUGUCUCUGGCAGCCAUGAAGGCACAUCACUCAUAUUUUCCUCUGACAAGACCUGCUGCAGGAGCUCAGCUGAUGGCCCACAGCGUCAGGGCCAAAGUCUAGAAACAAACUACACACAUAAGAAAUCUUGAUUUAUGACAGAGAUUGAAAAAUGAUUAACAUUUCAACACAGAGCCAGAGUUUAAAUUUUAGAGUAAGAGCUAAGGAAAAGUAUCUUACCUGGGACAGCUCAUUUCAGAAUAUGAACCUUGGCUUAGAUAUCUUUGAAGCUAAUUUCUGCCAAGUCCAAAGAACACACAUGGGACCUGCAAAGGCAUUCGAACAUAAUUCCCUGUCGAGACCAGUUCUCAGAAUGUUGAACCAACAUGAUCCCAUAGUUUUACAUAUACAGUUCCUUUUUCAGGAAACCAAGGACAGUAUUUUCCCACUGCCCUGAAUAGAGUGACCAUAUUUUCCAUGGGCACUCAAACCCUUUUCUGUUUUAACUGGAGUGUAAUAUAGAAGAGAUAAGUAUAAUUUUUAUACUCUGUGUGACCCAUAGUUAAACUGGACCAUACACAGACUACUCACCAGUCGUCAGGGAGUCGAACAAGCAUCUCUGUGGACCAAACCGAUGACAUUUCUCCACACCUGCCAAAGGGAAUUGGGUUCCCACAUGCAUUUAGGAAAAAAGAAAGACCAUGUUGGGUGUCAGAUAUCAGGGGAAACUGCCCCUGAUAAUUCAAUGUGAGUCCUUUUCUAUUUUCCUUAAGUGUUGGCCAGUCUGAGAAAUGAAGGGAAAGAAUACAAAAGAGAGAAAUUUUAAAGCUGGGUGUCUGGGGGAGACACCACAUGUUGGCAGGUUCCAUGAUGCCCCCCAAGCCGCAUAACCAGCAAGUUUUUAUUAGUGAUUUUCAAAAGGGGAGGGAGUGUAUGAAUAGGGUGCGGGUCACAGAGAUCACAUGCUUCACAAGGUAAUAAAAUAUCACAAGGCAAAUGGAGGCAGGGUGAGAUCACAGGACCAGGGCAAAAUUAAAAUUGCUAAUGAAGUUUUGGGCAUUCAUUGUCACUGAUAACAUCUUAUCAGGAGACAGCGUUUGAGAGCAGACAACUGGUCUGACCAAA